UUUUAAACAAGUCGGUUAUACUCUUUGUCGUUAAAAACAAUGACAGUAAAAUUGAUUUGCAUUGUUUUGAUGCUUGAGGUUUCUCUAAUUAAGUCUGAAAUUUGUCCACGUGAAAACGCAAGACAAUGUUGUGUUGGAUUUAAAUGGAACGAUACACAAGAAACAUGUUUACCGUGUGAAAAAGGAUAUGUUGGAAUAAACUGUAGCUCAAAGUGCGUCUUUCCUUGGUAUGGAAUGAACUGUAUGUCAAACUGUAACUGUUCUGAGAACGACUGUGAUCUUGUGUACGGUUGUGUAAUAUCAAAUGAAG